rnacentral:rRNA from 1 species
GGAGCACGAUACCCUCGGGAAACUGAGGCUAAUAGUGCAUACCACAAUCCACCUGGAAUGAGGAUUGUGCCAAAUGCUCCGGCGCCGAAGGAUGUGGCUGCGGCCGAUUAGGUAGACGGUGGGGUAACGGCCCACCGUGCCAAUAAUCGGUACGGGUCAUGAGAGUGAGAACCCGGAGACGGAAUCUGAGACAAGAUUCCGGGCCCUACGGGGCGCAGCAGGCGCGAAACCUUUACACUGCACGCCAGUGCGAUAAGGGAAUCCCAAGUGCGUAGGCAUAGAGCCUGCGCUUUUGUCCACCGUAGGGAGGUGUACGAAUAAGGGCUGGGCAAGACCGGUGCCAGCCGCCGCGGUAAUACCGGCAGCCCGAGUGAUGGCCGAUCUUAUUGGGCCUAAAGCGUCCGUAGCUGGCCGCACAAGUCCAUCGGAAAAUCCACCCGCUCAACGGGUGGGCGUCCGGUGGAAACUGUGUGGCUU